GUCCUUUGGGGUUUCUGGAGACUUCAUUAGAAAAAGAAAAAAACACCCCAAUUAUUAAAGUACUUGGUGCUGCAGAUGACCUCUGGGGGUCACACUGAUCUGGGUCGAGUCGCGGCUUCAAGCUUUAUAACCCCAGGCAAAUCUUGGAAGCUCUCUGAACAUCGGCUUCCUCGGCUGCCUUGUGUCCUGGAGCCUUGGAAGAACAGUAGAACACCAACAGGAAAAACAAUCAACCAACCAACACAACCAACAAAUAAACUAUCAUACU